rnacentral:rRNA from 1 species
AGUGAACGCUGGCGGUAGGCCUAACACAUGCAAGUCGAACGGCAGCACAGUAAGAGCUUGCUCUUACGGGUGGCGAGUGGCGGACGGGUGAGGAAUACAUCGGAAUCUACUUUUUCGUGGGGGGUAACGUAGGGAAACUUACGCUAAUACCGCAUACGACCUACGGGUGAAAGCAGGGGAUCUUCGGACCUUGCGCGAUUGAAUGAGCCGAUGUCGGAUUAGCUAGUUGGCGGGGUAAAGGCCCACCAAGGCGACGAUCCGUAGCUGGUCUGAGAGGAUGAUCAGCCACAUUGGAACUGAGACACGGUCCAGACUCCUACGGGAGGCAGCAGUGGGAAAUAUUGGACAAUGGGCGCAAGCCUGAUCCAGCCAUACCGCGUGGGUGAAGAAGGCCUUCGGGUUGUAAAGCCCUUUUGUUGGGAAAGAAAAGCAGCAGGUUAAUACCCCGCUGUUCUGACGGUACCCAAAGAAUAAGCACCGGCUAACUUCGUG